rnacentral:RNase_P_RNA from 2 species
GCGGAUGGCUGGGCGGCCGCGGGCCUCUGGCUCGAGGAAAGUCCGGACUCCACGGAGAGACGGUGCCGGGUAACGCCCGGGCGGCGAGAGCCGACGGACAGCGCCACAGAGAACAGUCUGCUCCUCCACGGGGGAGUGAGGGUGAAACGGUGGGGUAAGGGCCCACCGCGGCCCCGGCGACGGGGACGGCACGGCAAGCCCCACCGGGAGCAAUGCCGAAUAGAACCUCCGCGGGGCGUGCAAGCGCCCCAGGGCCGCUCCGGCCCGAGGCAGGUCGGGUAGGCAGCUGGAGCCCGCCGGCAACGGCGGGCCGAGAGGAAUGGUCGCCCAGGGCCCUUGUCCGCUCGCGGUAGGGGCCUGGACAGAAUCCGGCUUACAGGCCAUCCGCGCAU